UGAGGAAUAUUGGUCAAUGGGCGAGAGCCUGAACCAGCCAAGUAGCGUGCAGGAAGACGGCCCUACGGGUUGUAAACUGCUUUUAUGAAGGAAUAAAGUCACCCACGUGUGGGUGUUUGCAUGUACUUUAUGAAUAAGGACCGGCUAAUUCCGUGCCAGCAGCCGCGGUAAUACGGAAGGUCCGGGCGUUAUCCGGAUUUAUUGGGUUUAAAGGGAGCGUAGGCCGCCUGGUAAGCGUGUUGUGAAAUGUCGUUGCUCAACAACGUCACUGCAGCGCGAACUGCCGGGCUUGAGUGUGCGGAAAAGCGGG
rnacentral:rRNA from 1 species